GGUUCGAUGGCGUAGUUGGUUAUCGCAUCUGUCUAACAUUGCGCUGUGGAACGGAAUGCACAGAAGGUCCCCAGUUCGAGCCUGGGUCGAAUCA